rnacentral:rRNA from 1 species
UACGUAGGGUCCGAGCGUUAAUCGGAAUUACUGGGCGUAAAGCGUGCGCAGGCGGUUUUGUAAGCCAGAUGUGAAAUCCCCGGGCUUAACCUGGGAACUGCAUUGGUGACUGGCAGGCUUUGAGUGUGGCAGAGGGAGGUAGAAUUCCACGUGUAGCAGUGAAAUGCGUAGAGAUGUGGAGGAAUACCGAUGGCGAAGGCAGCCUCCUGGGCCAACACUGACGCUCAUGCACGAAAGCGUGGGGAGCAAACAGG